rnacentral:rRNA from 1 species
UACGGGGGGGGCAAGCAUUGUUCGGAAUUACUGGGCGUAAAGGGCUCGUAGGUGGCCAACUAAGUCAGACGUGAAAUCCCUCGGCUUAACCGGGGAACUGCGUCUGAUACUGGAUGGCUAGAGAUUGGGAGAGGGAUGCGGAAUUCCAGGUGUAGCGGUGAAAUGCGUAGAUAUCUGGAGGAACACCAGAGGCGAAGGCGGCCUACUGGGCUGCACCUGACGCUGAGCCGCGAAAGCCAGGGGAGCGAACGGG